rnacentral:rRNA from 1 species
CUGCCUUUUAGACUGGAACAACUUACCGAAAGGUGAGCUAAUGCCGGAUGAGUUAUAUAAGUGCAUGUUUAUAUAGGAAAAGUUGGGGAGACCUGACGCUGAAAGAUGGACUCGCGUCCCAUUAGCUAGUUGGUAGGGUAAUGGCCUACCAAGGCGACGACGGGUAGCCGGCCUGAGAGGGUGGCCGGCCACACUGGGACUGAGACACGGCCCAGACUCCUACGGGAGGCAGCAGUGGGGAAUUUUGCGCAAUGCUCGUAAGAGUGACGCAGCGACGCCGCGUGAAUGACGAAGGCCUUCGGGUCGUAAAGUUCUUUCGACAGGGAAGAAAAUGCCUAUAAGUAACUGUGUAUGUAUUGACGGUACCUGUAUAAGCAGCCCCGGCUAACUACGUGCCAGCAGCCGCGGUAAUACGUAGGGGGCAAGCGUUAUCCGGAUUUACUGGGUGUAAAGGGAGCGUAGGUGGCAUGGUAAGCCAGAAGUGAAAACCCAGGGCUCAACUCUGUGGAUUGCUUUUGGAACUAUCAAGCUAGAGUGCUGGAGGGGUAAGCGGAAUUCCUAGUGUAGCGNUGGAAUGC